rnacentral:rRNA from 1 species
AUUGAACGCUGGCGGCAGGCCUAACACAUGCAAGUCGAACGAGUGGCGGACGGGUGAGUAAUGCUUGGGAAUCUGGCUUAUGGAGGGGGAUAACUACUGGAAACUGUAGCUAAUACCGCGUACCAUAGGAUGAGCCCAUGUGGGAUUAGGUAGUGGGUGGGGUAAAGGCUCACCAAGGCGACGAUCUCUAGCUGGUCUGAGAGGAUGACCAGCCACACUGGGACUGAGACACGGCCCAGACUCCUACGGGAGGCAGCAGUGGGGAAUAUUGCACAAUGGGGGCAACCCUGACGCAGCCAUGCCGCGUGUAUGAAGAAGGCCUUCGGGUUGUAAAGUACUUUCAGCGGGGAGGCGGUAUCUGCAGAAGAAGCACCGGCUAACUCCGUGCCAGCAGCCGCGGUAAUAC